GUCAACGGCCAUACCGCGAUGAAAAGUACUAGUUCUCGUCCGAUCACUAAAGUCAAGCAUCGCUGGGCACGGUUAGUACUUGGAUGGGUGACCGCUUGGGAACACGUGUGCUGUUGACA
rnacentral:rRNA from 1 species